CAGUUGGGGAUACUGUGCUCUGAAAUGUGAUUUUAGCUCCCAUGUGACCUCUCCCUGUGUUUGAUUCUGUCAUAGGACCUUAACGAAUGAAAUUUUUCAGUUGCAGAGUACUCUACUUUUUCGGUCCAUAAUAUUGAUCGGUACCUCCUCGUAUGACAGAUUCUUCUGGAGUGAAAGAGGCUCGUGAGCCAAGACGUGAAAAAGGUCUGAGUUGUACUUGCGUAACAUGGACACAUGAAAUAUAUCAUGGACCUUGGAAAGUUCUAGAGGCAAUGUCAAUCUGUAGGCGACGGUGCCAAUUCUGUCUUAGAUUUCAAAUGGCCUAAUAAAUCGGGGAUUUAGUUUUUCCCUCUUGCCAAACCUACUGAUUCCCUUAAAAAGAGUGACAUUAAGGAAUACCCGAUCACCUUUCUCAAAUUCCAAAUCCUUCCUCCGAGUAUCCGCAUAACUCUUCUGCCUGCUCUGAGCUGUCUGGAUGUUCUUCCUGAUCUUAAUUAUUUUGGCUGUAGUCUCUUCCACAAGAUCUAAACCGAAU
rnacentral:lncRNA from 1 species